rnacentral:rRNA from 1 species
GAUGAACGCUGGCGGCGUGCCUAAUACAUGCAAGUCGAGCGAAUGGAUUAAGAGCUUGCUCUUAUGAAGUUAGCGGCGGACGGGUGAGUAACACGUGGGUAACCUGCCCAUAAGACUGGGAUAACUCCGGGAAACCGGGGCUAAUACCGGAUAACAUUUUGAACCGCAUGGUUCGAAAUUGAAAGGCGGCUGCGGCUGUCACUUAUGGAUGGCCCCGCGUCGAAUUAGCUAGUUGGUGAGGUAACGGCUCACCAAGGCAACGAUGCGUAGCCGACCUGAGAGGGUGAUCGGCCACACUGGGACUGAGACACGGCCCAGACUCCUACGGGAGGCAGCAGUAGGGAAUCUUCCGCAAUGGACGAAAGUCUGACGGAGCAACGCCGCGUGAGUGAUGAAGGCUUUCGGGUCGUAAAACUCUGUUGUUAGGGAAGAACAAGUGCUAGUUGAAUAAGCUGGCACCUUGACGGUACCUAACCAGAAAGCCACGGCUAACUACGUGCCAGCCGCCGCCGUAA